rnacentral:rRNA from 1 species
UACGGGGGGAGCAAGCGUUGUUCGGAAUUACUGGGCGUAAAGGGUUUGUAGGUGGCUUGUUAAGUCAGACGUGAAAUCCCUCAGCUUAACUGGGGAACUGCGUCUGAUACUGGCGAGCUUGAGUGCAGGAGAGGAACGCGGAAUUCCCGGUGUAGUGGUGAAAUGCGUAGAGAUCGGGAGGAACACCCGUGGCGAAGGCGGCCAGCUGGGAUACACCUGACGCUGAGGCACGAAGGCGUGGGGAGCGAACGGG